CUCUGGGCGAUGCCUGCAUAAGGAGCCACAACGGGGUGCGUGUCACCUACUUCGCUCCUGGGAAGGUCUGAGGCCGGGAUCAUUUGACGCUCUAGCAGGGCGGUCACAGAAAUGUGACGGGCUCCACGAGAAAUUCCGCCUCGUUCCCCAGCUGUGAGUCCCGGUGACGGGUUGCGAGGUCGGGGAACAACGCCAGUCAGGGUGGUUGGCGGAGGCGCUGGGAUAGGGGUCCGAUCGGCUGUCUGAGUCUAAUAUGCGGGACGGUGCCUCCGUUAUUUACGGAAAGCUUCCGUAACUCAAUUCAGACUACUCCGCCUGGAG
rnacentral:RNase_P_RNA from 1 species